CAUCAAUGAUAGAGUUUGAUUUACAACGCGUCUUUGGUAGUAGCUAAAACUCUUCUGCGUAAUGGUCUUGCUUGUCAAGUAUUUGGUAGUAAAGAUGUUAAGGAUUAUUCUUACAAAAAAUUUUUAAAAUUUUACGUAAAUAUUUUUUUGUUUGUUUACACAAGAUGAGACCAAAGAAUGUUGAGAUCAACGACAGGCAUAUAAAGCAAAAGAAAAUAAUACUAAAUAAAGAUAUUUGUGAGCAAACUCAUCAGUUAUUUUUCGUUUGAUUUGAACAGACGUGAAGAAUUAGCCAACCAACUGCUUCAACAACUCUACUCAACUUCAACCGCUUCAACAACUUUACCGAACUAUUAAUUACGACUCAAUGUGUGUUGGUCGCAUUUGAAGCCGCAAUAUCCUGUACGAGUGCGCCAAAACAAAAAAUUUUCAAAACAUUACAUUGCAAAUUCAAAAAAAAUAUUUGUGUAUAUUUGUGUUUUUGUAUACAUUAACGAUUUCUGAAGCCUAAUAUAAAAUUUUGUUAAAA